ensembl:miRNA eca-mir-3613 eca-mir-3613
CCGGCGCGCAACACGAUGGUUGGGUUUGGAUUGUUGUACUUUUUUUUUUGUUCGUUGCAUUUUUAGGAACAAAAAAAAAAGCCCAACCCUUCACACCACUUCAUCCGCAUCUCUGAGGACC